rnacentral:lncRNA from 1 species
CCUGUGCGGGGCGGUGUGUGUGUGUGUGUGUGUGUGUGUGUGUGUGUGUGCGUGUGUCUGUGUCCGUGUGUGUUAAAAAACGAAACGAAAGCCCGCCCAAUGACGCGACGGAGUUACUUACCGAUACCCACCAUUUUACCGAGCGUCGCGUGACUGUCGUGACCCAGGUAGUCAUACUUACCCGCGAUAAGCCUGGAACCCCACGGGCGACCAUUCGGCCUGACCCCGCGAUGCACCUGUAUGCGUCCAUGCUCCGCACCCUGGGCGCGCUAAACAACGUUUACCCAGCACGCCUAAUUCCCAGAUUCCCGCCCGCUGGUCGUAGUCGAGCUCACCUAUAGGCAAAAGUGGAAGCAUGGGCAUAGGGCGGCAGCGAGGAAGUGUCACGGGCAUGUGAAUGGCAACGGCGACAAGAGAGGCGGCGUGCAGCAGACAAGCUAAGUAUCACGCGUCCCAAAUCCCGCCCACUAAGUACAAUAACGCUAUGAAAAGAGAGCGAGUUAGCGGUGGCACUGCGACUAAACGGGGUCAAGGCUGCAUGGGGGACGUGGCGGGCGGCGGUUGCAGCGUUUCCAGACGUGUCAGGCUGGUGUGUGCGUGUGACGUGUGUGCGCCGUGGGCUGGCGGGAGCUGGCCUCCCGCUCCCCACUCCACGGCGGCACCGAGGCUAGGCACGCUCGCGGCCGCAAUGGCCGCGGCGGCUGUUCGUGACGAGCCCCCCACCCCCCAGAAUCCAGUUACCCCCCUGAUAGUGAACACGCGCCGCGACGUGUCGCGGGUGCAUGGUAGUGCUGCGCCGUACGCCUCGGCGACCUGGCCGUAUUCCGUGACGAGGUCCGCCGUCCGCCAGAGCCAUCAGGUGGUCGCCGAAGGUGACCGAGCGGUACCGAUGGGCAUAUCGCGCAUGCAUCGCGGGCACCGGACGGGGUCCCGGACCUGUGACGCGGGCUUAAGAGGCAAAUAGCGUGGUGCUGGUACCGCGACCAGCGGGAACAGGGCGACGAAGGUGUUGAGCUCGUCGUCGCCCAGUCCGCCAGGUCGCCCAAACUACCCCAGCUCCGCGCACCCGGCCCAUUUGAAAGGUACAGUACAGUUUAGCAAAAGCAAUACCCGGGGGCUUAAAAGCCCUCAGCCCAAAGGCCCGCCCAUAGGUCCCUCAUUGGAAAAGCGAGCCCCAGCCAGAAGCGCCAAGACCCGUCCUGACUUCCUGAAGCCCUGAUGGCCCCUGACGAUCCACAGAUGACACAGGUAGUGCCCUUGUGUUAAAAAACGAAACGAAAGCCCGCCCAAUGACGCGACGGAGUUACUUACCGAUACCCACCAUUUUACCGAGCGUCGCGUGACUGUCGUGACCCAGGUAGUCAUACUUACCCGCGAUAAGCCUGGAACCCCACGGGCGACCAUUCGGCCUGACCCCGCGAUGCACCUGUAUGCGUCCAUGCUCCGCACCCUGGGCGCGCUAAACAACGUUUACCCAGCACGCCUAAUUCCCAGAUUCCCGCCCG